GAACGACAAAACUCUGACAUUUUUUGAUAGUAGCUUGAUACAUCAAUGCUUUAUGAUGUCAAACCAUGAA
rnacentral:sRNA from 1 species